rnacentral:rRNA from 1 species
UACGAAGGGGGGCUAGCGUUGCUCGGAAUCACUGGGCGUAAAGGGUGCGUAGGCGGGUCUUUUAAGUCAGGGGUGAAAUCCUGGAGCUCAACUCCAGAACUGCCUUUGAUACUGAAGAUCUUGAGUUCGGGAGAGGUGAGUGGAACUGCGAGUGUAGAGGUGAAAUUCGUAGAUAUUCGCAAGAACACCAGUGGCGAAGGCGGCUCACUGGCCCGAUACUGACGCUGAGACACGAAAGCGUGGGUAGCAAACAGGA